UACGUAGGGUGCGAGCGUUGUCCGGAAUUAUUGGGCGUAAAGAGCUCGUAGGCGGUCUGUCGCGUCGGUCGUGAAAACUUGGGGCUUAACCCUGAGCUUGCAGUCGAUACGGGCAUGACUGGAGUUCGGCAGGGGAGACUGGAAUUCCUGGUGUAGCGGUGAAAUGCGCAGAUAUCAGGAGGAACACCGGUGGCAAAGGCGGGGUCUCUGGGCCGAUACUGACGCUGAGGAGCGAAAGCGUGGGGAGCGAACAGG
rnacentral:rRNA from 1 species